CUUGACGGUAGCUGUGCGCAGGGCGCCUUCGGGUGCGCCGGAUUGAUGUGGACCGGUCUACUAACCUGCGUACAGCUGCCACCCUU
rnacentral:antisense_RNA from 2 species